rnacentral:rRNA from 1 species
CUAGAGCUAAUACAUGCUAAAAACCUCGACUUCGGGAGGGGUGUAUUUAUUAGAUUAAAAACCAAUGCCCUUCGGGGCUCUUUGGUGAUUCAUAAUAACUAAACGAAUCGCAUGGCCUUGCGCCGGCGAUGGUUCAUUCAAAUUUCUGCCCUAUCAACUUUCGAUUGUAGAGUAGUGGUCUACAAUGGUUUCAACGGGUAACGGGGAAUUAGGGUUCUAUUCCGGAGAGGGAGCCUGAGAAACGGCUACCACAUCCAAGGAAGGCAGCAGGCGCGCAAAUUACCCAAUCCCGACACGGGGAGGUAGUGACAAUAAAUACUGAUACAGGGUUCUUUUGGAUCUUGUAAUUGGAAUGAGUACAAUGUAAAUACCUUAACGAGGAACAAUUGGAGGGCAAGUCUGGUGCCAGCAGCCGCGGUAAUUCCAGCUCCAAUAGCGUAUAUUAAAGUUGUUGCAGUUAAAAAGCUCGUAGUUGAACCUUGGAUCUGGCUGAUCUGUCCUCCUAAUCGAGCGCACGGAUUCGGCUGGAUCUUUCCUUCUGGGGAACCCUAUGCCCUUUACUGGGCGUAGUGGGGAACCAGGACUUUUACUUUGAAAAAAUUAGAGUGUUCAAAGCAGGCCUUUGCUCGAAUACAUUAGCAUGGAAUAAUAGAAUAGGACGUUGGUUCUAUUUUGUU